AAAGUGGGUCAUUAAAGGAGCUAUAGAUAGACGUAGAUAUCGGUGCUAAUCCUUCUCAAGAAGGCGGCGAAGAAGAUGAAGGAUUUGAUGAUACUGCUGUCAAAGUGGUUGAUAUUGUUGACACCUUCAAGCUCCAGGAACAACCUUCUUUUGACCAGAAGCAAUUUGUGACGUAUAUUAAGCGUUAUAUCAAGUUGUUGACACCUAAAUUGGAAUGGGAGAAGCAGGAGUUAUUUUAGAAGCACAUUGAGCAAUCUACCAAGUUUUUGCUCUCAAAGCUCAGUGACCUACAAUUAUUUGUUGGUGAAAGCAUGCAUGAUGAUGGUAGUAUGGUCUUUGCCUAUUACAAGGAGGGUGCUGCUGAUCCAACAUUUCUGUACUUUGCCUAGGG